GACGAACGCUGGCGGCGUGCCUAAUACAUGCAAGUAGAACGCUGAAGAGAGGAGCUUGCUCUUCUUGGAUGAGUUGCGAACGGGUGAGUAACGCGUAGGUAACCUGCCUUGUAGCGGGGGAUAACUAUUGGAAACGAUAGCUAAUACCGCAUAACAAUGGAUGACCCAUGUCAUUUAUUUGAAAGGGGCAAAUGCUCCACUACAAGAUGGACCUGCGUUGUAUUAGCUAGUAGGUGAGGUAACGGCUCACCUAGGCGACGAUACAUAGCCGACCUGAGAGGGUGAUCGGCCACACUGGGACUGAGACACGGCCCAGACUCCUACGGGAGGCAGCAGUAGGGAAUCUUCGGCAAUAGGGGCAACCCUGACCGAGCAACGCCGCGUGAGUGAAGAAGGGUUUCGGAUCGUAAAGCUCUGUUGUAAGUCAAGAACGAGUGUGAGAGUGGAAAGUUCACACUGUGACGGUAGCUUACCAGAAAGGGACGGCUAACUACGUG
rnacentral:rRNA from 1 species